rnacentral:rRNA from 1 species
UCCGGUGACCAUGGCGAGGGGGAAACACCUCUUCCCAUUCCGAACAGAGAAGUUAAGCCCCUCAGCGCCGAUGGUACUGCACGGGGGACCGUGUGGGAGAGUAGGACGUCGCCGGGA